rnacentral:lncRNA from 1 species
CAGUUUACUUCUUUUAUGAUGUUUGCUCAGCUCUACAAGUAUUUCUGGUAGUCUAAACAACAUACUGUAGAUAUCUAUUUGUCUAUAAGUCUGUAAUUAAGAAUGUAUGUUGAGAAGAAUGUGUAAUAUGAGCUUCAUUGUGAAGAUUUGUUUUAAUUAGAUCAAUCAAUUUGGCAGGCACCCACAAGUCCCACUCUCAUGCUAAAAGGGGCCCCUUGAAAGUCAUAUAUAUCCAAACUUCACCAUCAAACACCACAGACGGACAACCCUCCUGUCUGGUGGAUCGGGUAGAUAAUUUCAUUUUUCGUCUGUCUUUUUGAAGAACUGUGCACCAAGCAGAAUUUCACAAUGUAUAAUUAUAUAUAAUGAGUCAUUAACAGUUGUAAUUCCAACCUUGUUUUAGGAAUAAAGGCAAAAAAUAGAUUUCCAUCUUUGCUGAGAGAUGAUUGGCUUGUUUCAGGAUCUGCUAAGUAUAUAUAGCAGCCUUGUUCAGUAGUUAUGCAUUCAACUUUAAACUCCAAGAAGCCAGCCAGUUGUCCUUGUGAUUUUCAAAAAGAGAGCAAAUAUGAAAGCAGUGGCGUUCUUGAUGUGUUUGCUGGGCUCUUCACUUGCUGCCCCUGCCCCUGACAGUAGCAGUAAUGAGCAGCAGGCUGGUCAUGCUAACACAGCUCUGCAGUUGAUGGAACUCUACAGAAUGUUAGGACAUCUGCAGCAACAGGCAGCACCUGCAGCGCCUGCAGCACCCGCACCUGUUGAUGCCCAGCCUCAAGUUUCACCUCAAGCACCACAGCAGGUUAGCAACAUGCUAUUGCUAUUUUGGGUCAAUUUCAGUAAUGGCAGGUUAUACCACGUUAUAUCAGGUUGUAGCACAGUAGGCUAGCAACAUGCUAUUGCUAUUUUGGGUCAGUGUCAGUCAAGGCAUGUUAUACCAUGCAGAUUAGCAACAUGUUAUCAAUAUUUUUAAUAAUUUUCUUUUAAUGAUUUCUGUUUCUUUUUAGCGUCUGUUUAUGAUGUAAAGUAUCAUUUAGGGUACAACAUACAACAUAUAUUAUACAUGUACUAAGUAGUACUGAGUAGUAGCUGAUAGCAUUGUAGCUUUUAGCAUGGCUUUGCUACCAAUCUUUUUGCAAAAACUACAGAGUGGUAAUACACUCUUAGAAAUAAAAGUUUGGUGUCAAUGAUUCCAUGAAGAACCUUUAAUAUCCAUGGAACAUUUCCAUUCUACAGAAAGGAAAAAAGUUCUUCAGAUUAAAAUAUUGAACGACACUAAGACAAUUUUUAUUAACCUCACUGUAAGAAUUGAGCCGAUACUGCUGCAGACAGCGUUAAUUGUUAUAUGUCUUCUCUUUCAGUUUCUUAGUUAAAGGCCUCUUUAAUCAACUGAAAUGUAACACUUUGGAAAUAAUAAAAAUGGACAAAACAUAGUUUUGUGCGAAGAAACCACUCACUAAAGGCAUGCGCACGCACACACACACACACACACACACACACACACACACACACACACACACACAGUUUCAAUGUUUUAUGGGGGACCAUUAUACAUUGACGUAAUGAUUUUUUUUUACUGCACAAACUGUUUUUUCUUAUGCCCUUACCUUAACCCUACCCCCUCCACACAAAACUUUUAAUUUUUAGAUUUGCUAAAGAGGUCAUUCCGUAUAAUUUAUAAGCUUGUUUCCUCAUGUGGACUAAAAAAAAAAAAAAAAAAAAAGAAUUACCGGUAAUACUAAACUUGUGGGGAUUUGUUCCACAUAACAUAUGGAAUACCAGGACCACACAUACACGUUGGGUUUCAAGUUUUUAUGGGGACAUUCCAUAGGCUGAUAGUUUUUAUACUGUACAAAGUGUAUGACAAAGUGACGUGACAUACAGCCAAUUAUGGUGACCCAUACUCAGAACUCGUGGUCUGCAUUCAACCCAUCCAAAGUGCACACACACAGCAGUGAACACACACACCGUGAACACACACCCGGAGCAGUGCAGUCGUGGUUUUGCCAGUCCAAGACUCGAACCCACAACCUUAGUGUUAGGAGUCAAAUUACAGGAAACUGUGCACUUUUAGAUUUCAGGUUUACCAGGACGACACACACACAUGUGCACAAGGCUCUCUGCAAUUUAAAGGCGCUUUUAUAAUCUGAAAUACAACACAUGGAAGAAAUAAUAAAAACAACAACAAAAUAUCAUUAGAAAUAAUAACUACGUACUAUAAAAAAACUACAUAUAUCUAUGUAUAUCAAAUGACUCUAUACAAAAUACACACACAUGCAUAUAUUCAAACAUUCACUGAUGCUCCAGAAGGAAACAUGAUGGAAACUUUUUGAAUUUGGGGUGAAAACUUUUUGAAUUUGAAGAUUGGAGUAAACUGUACUUAAUUUUUCUUUCCAGGAAACAUGCAAGUAUCUUCUGUUUUUUUUUUUCCUAAUUAAAAAAAAUAGAUAUUUCAACAAAAUAAAGAGAAAUUUUGGACAUCUUCAUCCCGUUCAAAAG